rnacentral:rRNA from 1 species
UACGUAGGGGGCAAGCGUUGUCCGGAAUCAUUGGGCGUAAAGCACGUGUAGGCGGCUCGAUAAGUCUGCUGUGAAAGUUCAGGGCUCAACCCUGAAAUGCCGGUGGAAACUGUCGAGCUAGAGUCCGGAAGAGGCGAGUGGAAUUCCUGGUGUAGCGGUGAAAUGCGCAGAUAUCAGGAGGAACACCAAUGGCGAAGGCAGCUCGCUGGGACGGUACUGACGCUGAGACGCGAAAGCGUGGGGAGCAAACAGG